rnacentral:rRNA from 1 species
AACGAACGCUGGCGGCAGGCCUAACACAUGCAAGUCGAGCGAGGACUUCGGUCCUAGCGGCGGACGGGUGAGUAACGCGUGGGAACGUGCCCCUUGGUACGGAAUAGCCCCGGGAAACUGGGAGUAAUACCGUAUGAGCUCUACGGAGGAAAGAUUUAUCGCCAAGGGAUCGGCCCGCGUUGGAUUAGGUAGUUGGUGGGGUAAUGGCCUACCAAGCCGACGAUCCAUAGCUGGUUUGAGAGGAUGAUCAGCCACACUGGGACUGAGACACGGCCCAGACUCAUACGGGAGGCAGCAGUGGGGAAUCUUAGACAAUGGGCGCAAGCCUGAUCUAGCCAUGCCGCGUGAGCGAUGAAGGCCUUAGGGUUGUAAAGCUCUUUCAGCUGGGAAGAUAAUGACUGUACCAGCAGAAGAAGCCCCGGCUAACUCCGUGCCAGCCGCCGCAGUAA